AUGGGGCUCAAGCUCCCGGCAGCACUACUGCUCCCCCAGGUGGCCAAGCUAGGCUCCCUCCUCAUUCUCUUCCUUCUCGUGCUGCUGGUGCCUGCCUUCCUCAGGGUCCCCUAUUGCUACCUCCUCUUCAACGCCAUCGUCCUCGCGCUGGGCAUCCAAGCCGGCCUCCUGCGCCGCGGCAGCACCAUGACCUCUUCCGACGCCGACGAAGACCGGCACCGGUCUUCGCGGACUGGUCAGGAUGUCACGCCUGUCAGUAUCGCGGCUUCACCGUUUCAGAGGGCCAGAUCAGUCUAUCCCAACGACCAGACGGCGGUUGCAGAUGAUCAUGCGGUACCUGCCAUUGGAGCAAGUAACAUAGUUGACCUGAAGACCAAGACCAAGAAGGUGGUGCUGACGAUGCUGAUGAAGAAGUGCCCGUCGGCGGCGAGCAUCUUCUUCCUCAGUGCGCUGAACGGUAGCCGAGCCAGCGGAGAGGACAAGGCAUGCGAAGAGCAGCAGGAAGACCGUAAACUCGACGUGGAAAUGACUCGGCAGGAGCUGUUUGCCAACACGGAGAGGUUCAUCGGGGACUUCCACAAGGAGCUCAGGAUGCAGAGACAGUAG
rnacentral:rRNA from 1 species